UGACUAUAGACAUGAAUUGCUUAUUCAAUUAACAUAAAAAUAGUUUUAUAUGAAUAUGUGUAAAAACUUUCAAUCAUUAUUUUUUAUUUGAAUUCAUUUAAAUGUCAAGUGUAAACCUGUACAGCCAAGGGGUUACAUUUGUAUAAUGGGUAACAGUAGUGUUAAUGAAAUCCUGAUAAACUCUCUACAGGCUGUCAGGUUGUCUGGUCACAGAGGAAGGAUGUGCUUCUUUGGCCUCAGCUCUCAAACUCUCCACACCUGACAGAGCUGCACCUGACCUACAAUUACCCAGGAGACUCAGGGGUGAAGCUGCUCUCUGCUGGAGUGGAGGAUCCACAAUGGAGACAGGAGAAACUCAAAUUCCUGUGAUCUCACACUGGACCCAAACACAGCACACAAAUGACUCCCUCACUCUGAGAAGAACAGAAAGGUGAAAACGGGGAUAAAGGUUUACCAGUAUCCUGGUGAACAGAUAAGAGUGGUCUGUCAUCAGGUGCUGUGUAGAGAGGGUCUGACUGGGCGAUUCUACUGGGAGGUAGAGGGGAGUGGGUCACUGCCAAAUAUAGGAGUAAUAUGUAAAUAUGCAUACUGUGUAGAAAAGGACAAUGGUGUUUGUUAUGAUGUAAUAGGAUAAAAUAACAAUUCCUGGAAUCUGUAUUGCGCUGAUGGCGGUGCCUACAUGGUCAAGCACAAUAAUAAAAGCACUAAUAUACAGUGCCUUGCAAAAGUAUUCAUCCCCCUUGGCGUUUUUCCUAUUUUGUUGCAUUACAACCUGUAAUUUGAAAUUGAUUUUUAUUUGGAUUUCAUGUAAUGGACAUGCACAAAAUAGUCCAAAUUGGUGAAGUGAAUUGAAAAAAAUAACUUGUUUAAAAAAAUAAAGUAAAAAUUAAAAACGGAAAAGUGGUGUAUGCAUAUGUAUUCACCCCCUUUGCUAUGAAGCCCCUAAAUAAGAUCUGGUGCAACCAAUUACCUUCAGAAGUCACAUAAUUAGUUAAAUAAAGUCCACCUGUGUGCAAUCUAAGUGUCACAUGAAAUGUCACAUGAUCUCAGUAGAAAUACACCUCUGUUCUGAAAGGCCCCAGAGUCUGCAACAUCACUAAGCAAGGGGCACCACCAAGCAAGCGGCACUAUGAAGACCAAGGAGCUCUCCAAACAGGUCAAGGACAAAGUUGUGGAGAAGUACAGAUCAGGGUUAUAAAAGUAAAUAUCCGAAACUUUGAACAUCCCAUGUA
rnacentral:lncRNA from 1 species